GACGAACGCUGGCGGCGUGCCUAAUACAUGCAAGUAGAACGCUGAAGAGAGGAGCUUACUCUUCUUGGAUGAGUUGCGAACGGGUGAGUAACGCGUAGGUAACCUGCCUUGUAGCGGGGGAUAACUAUUGGAAACGAUAGCUAAUACCGCAUAACAAUGGAUGACACAUGUCAUUUAUUUGAAAGGGGCAAUUGCUCCACUACAAGAUGGACCUGCGUUGUAUUAGCUAGUAGGUGAGGUAAUGGCUCACCUAGGCGACGAUACAUAGCCGACCUGAGAGGGUGAUCGGCCACACUGGGACUGAGACACGGCCCAGACUCCUACGGGAGGCAGCAGUAGGGAAUCUUCGGCAAUGGGGGCAACCCUGACCGAGCAACGCCGCGUGAGUGAAGAAGGUUGUCGGAUCGUAAAGCUCUGUUGUAAGUCAAGAACGGGUGUGAGAGUGGAAAGUUCACACUGUGACGGUAGCUUACCAGAAAGGGACGGCUAACUACGUG
rnacentral:rRNA from 1 species